rfam:Gossypium hirsutum cultivar TM-1 chromosome 12, whole genome shotgun sequence
AAUAGGAGGAUGAUAAAUCAAAUUUUUUCUCUUGAUUUUCAGCUUUUUCCUCCUGAGAAAAUUUAAAUCCAACUAAAUAUACUAAAAAUUAGGAGGAAAACUCUGAUUUAUCAUUUUCCUAUU